AUUGAACGCUGGCGGCAGGCCUAACACAUGCAAGUCGAACGAGUGGCGGACGGGUGAGUAAUGUCUGGGAAACUGCCCGAUGGAGGGGGAUAACUACUGGAAACGGUAGCUAAUACCGCAUACCAUCGGAUGUGCCCAGAUGGGAUGAGCUUGUAGGUUAGGUAACGGCUCACCUAGGCGACGAUCCCUAGCUGGUCUGAGAGGAUGAACAGCCACAAUGGAACUGAGACACGGUCCAGACGCCGAUGGGAGGCAGCAGUGGGGAAUAUUGCACAAGGGGCGCAAGACUGAUGCAGCCAGGCCGCGUGUAUGAAGAAGGCCUUCGGGUUGUAAAGUACUGUCAGCGGGGAGGCGUUACCAGCAGAAGAAGCACCGGCUAACUCCGUGCCAGCAGCCGCGGUAAUAC
rnacentral:rRNA from 1 species